rnacentral:lncRNA from 1 species
ACCCCUUGUCUUAAGUUUUCAUCGGGUCCUGCCCCAUGGGCAACAGCUUCUACACUUCCCACCAUCGGCAUCGAUGACCAAUCUUCUCCUAUCAGCAUUGGCGAUCAAUCUACAAUAAUCAGCAGUCGUCACUUCCAUCCUCAGGCUAGCAGCACCAACUAUCGUCUCAUCACCGGCAUUAUUCAAAUCGACUCUCGGCACCUUUCUGCCGAUCCGGCAUAACAAUUUCCCUAUUACCGAUGAGCUCUCCUCAACCGUCUUGACUCAUACCAAAAAAAUGAUGUCAACACACCUUCUUCCAUCAUAAACCCCGGUCUCUCCAUGCUUGGUAAAACAAAUGUAGUUUGGCAUGAAACCCGACUCGAACAAGUGCAAGUGAAUACUUCUUGAGCUACAAAAUUCUUUAAAAUUCAUACAUACGGCACAUGGGCAACACAUAAAACUAUCCCGCUUGUUUUGCUCUGCCACUCUUAAGAAUUCUCACAGGCCUGUAAUGAACUCAUUGGAGCGGCG